CCGUAAACGAUGUCUACUAGUUGUCGGGAGACUUGAUCUCUUGGUAACGAAGCUAACGCGAUAAGUAGACCGCCUGGGGAGUACGGCCGCAAGGUUAAAACUCAAAUGAAUUGACGGGGGCCCGCACAAGCGGUGGAGCAUGUGGUUUAAUUCGAAGCAACGCGAAGAACCUUACCUACUCUUGACAUCCAGUGAACUUUCCAGAGAUGGAUUGGUGCCUUCGGGAACACUGAGACAGGUGCUGCAUGGCUGUCGUCAGCUCGUGUUGUGAAAUGUUGGGUUAAGUCCCGUAACGAGCGCAACCCUUGUCCUUAGUUACCAUCAUUAAGUUGGGGACUCUAAGGAGACUGCCGGUGACAAACCGGAGGAAGGCGGGGACGACGUCAAGUCAUCAUGGCCCUUACGAGUAGGGCUACACACGUGCUACAAUGGCAAGUACAGAGGGUUGCGAAGCAGCAAUGUGAAGCUAAUCCCAGAAAGCUUGUCGUAGUCCGGAUUGGAGUCUGCAACUCGACUCCAUGAAGUCGGAAUCGCUAGUAAUCGUGAAUCAGAAUGUCACGGUGAAUACGUUCCCGGGCCUU
rnacentral:rRNA from 1 species